rnacentral:lncRNA from 1 species
GCUGUUCCCAGUGUCUCGCCCACCCCCGCGGGGCCCGUCCGACUCGACGGGUGAGCCCGUGGUUCCCGGCUCCGCACCGUCGCCUGCCUCUCUGCAGACCACCCCGGACCCGACCCCUCAGCCACUUCCCCACGCUGCCCCUUUCGCUUCCCCCAUGACGCGGGGCCUAGGACGAGGGUCUGGGCCAAGAGGAACUUCCCCGCAAGAAGUGCCGAGCUAAGGACGCUACUAAGGGGGCGGGAUCGCCACGUGGAGUUUUGUUUUAGGUGCUGUCUCUCCUGUUGUUGUUGUCCUUUACACGAUGGUGUUGCAAGAAAAUGGAUAUGGUGUUGAGGAAGACAUUCCAACAUUACUAAUGGCUGCUAGCAGUAUGGAUGACAUUCUGGCUAUCACUGGAUUCAAUACAUGCUUGAGCAUAGUCUUCUCCUCGGGUAAACAAGAAAAUAUAACAACCACCAGAUCAUUCAUGACCUUUUUUGCUGUGCUAGGUCCUCUGGCUCUAGAAAC